rnacentral:rRNA from 1 species
UACGUAGGGUGCAAGCGUUUGUCCGGAAUUAUUGGGCGUAAAGAGCUCGUAGGCGGUUUGUCGCGUCUGCUGUGAAAACUGGGGGCUCAACCCCCAGCCUGCAGUGGGUACGGGCAGACUAGAGUGCGGUAGGGGAGAUUGGAAUUCCUGGUGUAGCGGUGGAAUGCGCAGAUAUCAGGAGGAACACCGAUGGCGAAGGCAGGUCUCUGGGCAUUAACUGACGCUGAGGAGCGAAAGCAUGGGGAGCGAACAGG